GGUGUAGGCGGCGGCGUAAGUGUGCUGUGAAAGCCCACGGCUCAACCGUGGAACGGCAGCGCAUACUGCGUCGCUUGAGGCCGGCAGAGGUGCCUGGAACUCUCGGUGGAGCGGUGAAAUGCGUAGAUAUCGAGAGGAACGCCAGAGGCGAAAGCGGGGCACUGGGCCGGUUCUGACGCUGAGACCCGAAAGCGUGGGGAGCAAACAGGAUUAGAUACCCUGGUAGUCCACGCCCUAAACGAUGCACACUAGGCGUCGGAGCUUCUGAAAGUCUCGGCGCCGGAGAAAAAUUGUUAAGUGUGCCGCCUGGGGAGUACGGCCGCAAGGCUAAA
rnacentral:rRNA from 1 species